rfam:Oryza rufipogon genomic scaffold, chr05
AAAAAGGCAAACCCUGAGUUUCCGUGUCCAAUUUUAACUGUCUGUCUUAUAUGAAAUUUUUUUAUAAUUCGUAUUUUCAUUGUUGUUAGAUGAUAAAACAUGAUUAAUAUUUUAUGCGUGACUUGUCUUUUUAUUUUUUUUUCAUAAUUUUUUCAAAUAAGACGGACGGUCAAACAUUGAGCAUGGAAACCAGGGUUUGUCUUUUU